UACAGAGGGUGCAAGCGUUGUUCGGAAUUAUUGGGCGUAAAGGGCGCGUAGGCGGUGCGGUAAGUCACCUGUGAAACCUCUGGGCUUAACUCAGAGCCUGCAGGCGAAACUGCCGUGCUUGAGUGUGGGAGAGGUGCGUGGAAUUCCCGGUGUAGCGGUGAAAUGCGUAGAUAUCAGGAGGAACACCUGUGGCGAAAGCGGCGCACUGGACCACAACUGACGCUGAGGCGCGAAAGCUAGGGGAGCAAACAGG
rnacentral:rRNA from 1 species